GGGACGGGGACGGGGACGGGGUGGCGUUGGUUGAUCUGGUGGCAGGUGUGGGCGCCCUGGUAGGUGACGUCGAAGACGGCCAAGUCGGCGUCAGAGCGCUGCACCUGCCUCGUCGCCGGGCACCCCUGCGCCGUCCGGAAAAGGAGAGAAAGUAUAUGAAGCACGUAUCAAAUAUGUUCAGUUGUAGACGUAAGGUCCAGAAUAAUUGGCGCUAACCUUGGAAAUUUGGCUCCGAGAAUGUCCUUCUGGCCGUACUUCCUCCAGCUGAACCCGUCGUCUGGAGUGUACUCUAGAUUUGUAUCUGGUAUUCGGAAUUUCUCAGUCCAUUUUGGCAGGCCCUUCCUGUUCACAUGACCACGUACAAAAUUUAAGGAUCGGAUCUUAAUGUAAUUUCAGUUGAUAGAUGCAAACGCUAGCAGGCGAACAUUCAAUGAAAAUUCUCAUUCAGUGCAAACUUUCAAAUUAUGUUAUAGAUGCAAGUAGUGUCUAAGUACUUUAUCAUACGAUAAUGUUAUAGAUAUAUGCACAUUUGCUUUUGACCAAAAACACCAAAGUACACCACUUGUGCCGUUAAUUAUUCUCCAAUUUAUUUAUUUUUUACUUGUGUCAUUACUCGAUCUACGCCGCUUUCUUGUGCGCCGUGCGUUAGGUGUCUUUCAAAAAUCGCCCCAAAAAUGUAUAUUUCAAAAAUUAAGAAGGCUACUCAUUUUGGAUGUGUUGAAGGCACUUCAGAACCUGCAAUAUACUGAUAUGUAUGCGUUACCAGCGUGAAACGUCAUAUUGCUAGCAUUUUGAUCUUAAAAAGAAGAUACUGAGAGCACCGGAUGCUACCCUAUCCCUGCUAUCCUGGGGAACUAAAUUAAUAGGUAUUUGCUUUAUUGAACACUCAUUAAAGGGGUUCCGCUCCAUGAAACGGGUACAAGGAAAGAAAGUAUUUUCUAUGAAACACCAAGUACAAGU